rnacentral:rRNA from 1 species
CGACGGUUGGUGCUAUGCCAACCGUGGCGUUAACGGAUAACAGAGAAUCUGGGUUCGAUUCUGGAGAGGCCGCAUGAGAAACGGCGACCACUUCCAAGGAAGGCAGCAGGCACGCAAAUUACCCACUUCGGACACCGAGAGGUAGUGACGAACAAUACCGAUGCGGCGCACUUACGUGUCGCCGUAAUCGGAAUGAGUACACUUCAAAUCCUUUAACGAGGAUCCACUGGAGGGCAAGCCUGGUGCCAGCAGCCGCGGUAAUUCCAGCUCCAGCAGCGUAUAUUUAUAUUGCUGCGUUUAAAAAGCUCGUAGUUGAAGCGUCAGACGCGGGAGGGCGGACGGCCGCACUGGUCGCUCUCGCCCGACCGAGCCAGGCGCAGAGGGCGCGCGUCGCUUGCACUUCACCGUGUGAGCGCGCCGCCGCUGCACGUUCACCUUGAAGAAAUUGAACCGCUUAGAGGGGGCGAGCAGCUUGAACAGCUCAGCAUGGUAUGAUGGAACAUGGGCUCGUACUCAUUUUGUUGGUUAGAGAGUCGGCGAGCCAAUGAUUAACAGGGACUGCCGGGGGCAUUAGUACUCGGACGGGAGAGGUGAAAUUCAAGGAUCGUCCGAAGACUCCCUACUGCGAAAGCAUUUGCCAAGAAUGUUUUCAUUAAUCAAGAACGAAAGUCAGAGGUGCGAAGGCGAUCAGAUACCGCCGUAGUUCUGACCGUAAACGUUGCCGACUGGCAAUUGGGCGCACUUCUGUCGAAGUUGCCGCCAGCAGUAUUGCCCGGGAAACCAAAGUCAUUGGGUUCCGGGGGGAGUAUGGUUGCAAAGCUGAAACUUAAAGGAAUUGACGGAAGGGCACCACCAGGAGUGGAGCCUGCGGCUUAAUUUGACUCAACACGGGAAACCUCACCCGGCCCGAACACUGUUAUGACAGACAGGUUGAGAGCUCUUUCUCGAUUCAGUGGUUGGUGGUGCAUGGCCGUUCUUAGUUCGUGGAGCGAUCUGUCUGGUUAAUUCCGAUAACGAACGAGAUUCUUGCCUGCUAAAUAGACGGCGCCGACUGUGCGCGGCGGCCGUUCGCUUCUUAGAGGGACAAGCGGCUUUUAGCCGCGUGAAGCUGAGAGCAAUAACAGGUCAGUGAUGCCCUCAGAUGUUCGGGGCCGCACGCGCGCUACACUGUUUGCAUCAGCGUGUUUCUCCCGCGCCGGCCGGCGCGGGCAACCCGUUGAACCGCAAACGUGCUAGGGAUCGGAGAUUGCAAUUGUUCUCCGUGAACGAGGAAUUCCUUGUACUGGCGAGUCAUCAGCUCGCGGGGAAUCUGUCCCUGCCCUUUGUACACACCGCCCGUCGCUACUACCGAUUGAGUGGUUUAGUGAGGCUCACGGACUGCCGCGCGGCACCCCGGCGCUCUCGGGCGCCGCGUCGCGCGGCGGAAAGUGAGACGAACUUGAUCACUUCUAGGAAGUAAAAGUCGUAACAAGGUUUUCGUAGGUGAACCUGCGUAAGGAUCA